GGUUACAAUCGCCUACUUAUUAACUUUGAUAAUUUGGAAGUCGUUGGUACUACGAAGAAUGGAGGACGUUCGACGGGAGCAGCGGCGGCAGUUUUCGACGAUUGCUAUUGUAUAGCUUGUGAUUUUCCUCUUAGUAGUUUUGAACAUUGUAACAGGGAUGCUAAUAAGGUUGUUCUUGAGCUUGUUAGAUUGGCUAAGUUUCUAAACAAUGAUUGGUUUGAGGAGCCCAUGAGUGAAAUUGUAUCUCUCCUAAUAGACGAUGUCACUGUUAUUUCGAAUUAA
rnacentral:rRNA from 1 species